rnacentral:lncRNA from 1 species
GUCAACACAAAGCGAUCUAAAAACUUUAGAAUAUUCCAAGAAAACUAAAAAAAAUAGUUUACUAAAUAGUUACAUGGCCUAUACCCGCAAAUACAACCUAGUAUUCAUCACUCGACGGCAAUCAUAAAAAAGUAGCAGCAAUUUUUUGCUGAACGAAAUAAAAUAACAACAAUUGAUAAACCGGUGUCCGUAGGGGCUGAAGGCCCAUGGGCUACGGGUCGCCCAACAAGCCCGGCCUGUUCACACGUCAAAAUACAUAGUACUAGUACUAAGUACACAAGAGUAACCAUCUGGGUCCUAGAGAUUAUUGGGCCGACUCGAAACUACACACACGAAUGUUGCAACGCGGAAAUCUGCCAAGCCGCCAGCGGCCAGCCGGGGCAUUUUUUGGUUGGUGGUCUGCCUGGCUGGCUGGGACUUGCUGCCAUGCAACUGCUAGUGCCCUACACCGGGAGCUGGCGGAUUCGGAGGGCACACGCCGCCGGAGUUGUUCCCGUAGGUGCAGUUGGACGGCUGCGCAGAGGAAUUCGUGCUCGUCAACUCCACCGCCACGGAGACGACGACGCGAUCCAGCACGGCGCCGGUGGCGGAGCUGCCGCCGGCCUCCUGCCUCAUCACCACCACCGGCCGUGCCGCCACCGCCACGCCACCGGAGGCGAGCACGGCAACCGCUGCUGCAACGACGACGACUGUAAGUGUCGAGGACCUCAUGGUCUAUCGAUCGAUGGAUGGUUUCACACACUUCACAACUAGCAAUAAUAAUCGUCGUGUGAUCACCUGUGUGUGCUGCUGCGAUGUGUAUGUGUAUGCAAUGCAUGCGUAUAAAUACACGCACGGGAGCACGGUUACUACUACAUGGUGGGUACGUAGUGCGUGGAGAGAGAGAGAGAGAGAGAGAGAGAGAGAGACGUUUUGCAUUGUCAUUUGACCUUGGAAUGAAUUGGAAUGAACAAGGUAAAUGCUUUGCCCUGUCUAGUUGUUGUCUUCCAGGGGGGAGGAAAUUUAAUUAGAACCGUUGCAUUAGUCCACUGUCCACAGCUUCAGACUUGCAGCUAGAAAAAAAGAAAGUCUGCAUGCAUGCACACACCCGGCAAUUCAGCUUCUUCGGUCAGGGAAGCACCGAGAGUACAAGUAGGCCAAUGCGUUGUCAUUCCUUUUUGACCCUUCUCUACCUACGUGUCAACCGAGCAAAAACUACAGUGAACGAAGCCGAGGACGGCAAGCACUUCGGAAGGCAGGGACGAGGAGGGAGCACUCGCGCAGAGCUCGGCAAAUCUGCUGGCCACAGGCCACCUGAUCGAGCUCGCUCAGGUUCUCGGACAACAAGGACGAUGAAGUCAUUUAACAGUAUUUUUCUUUCAUAAUAAAUCAACGAAUAAUAAUUUUAUCUAUAAUUUUUCAUAUAAGUGAACAUGGCUGUUGGUUGUCACUUUGUCAGAGGAGAGACGGAUCUUUUUUUUUUUCUCGAUCGGGUGAUCAACCCGUAUUUCAUUAAGAGGAGAGACGGAUCUGGUUCGUGGGACGGGCCUAACACGCGACGCGAGCCCGGCCUUUCGGCUCUGCUCUGGUCCGCGCCGCGCGCGUGUUGCAUGGAUCCAGCUCCACCGCAAACUCCGCGAGCCUUCGUCGGCGCCGCCGGAACACGCACCGACGCACGUGGACGAGCGUGCUGCCUAGUGGGCGUGAUGCGUAGUCGAUGGUUCAUAGGAAAUGGGGGCGCGCGGACGGAGAAGGCAGCGCCGUUCUUGCCCGUUCGCCGGAACUUUUUUUUUUUUAAAAAAAAAGAGACGAAAUGCCCGUUCUGAAAAUUUUUAAUGAGCAAAUAGUAUCCUUAAAAAAACGAAGAAAGAAAGGGAAAAGGAAACUAAAUCCCCACACGUUGUGUAUAUAUGCAGAUACAGUAUAUGCAGUCAUAUCGCGAGCACUAAAUGCUGAGCGCAUGCAUGCACUUACUUUUUUUUUUUACCCACGGCACAACCGCAAACAGAUGACAGCAACCACUUGCACAUGCUCCUCUACAAUCAGCUCAUCAUUAUUCACACCUCGCAAUAAUCAACGGCCAUCAGUUAGCUCAAACCGGAGAUAAAUAACUCAUAAUAACAAAAAUGAAGUACUUAAUAUCGCUGGAUCAGAGAUUCAAAAGCUUCUGUUCAAUGAGAGUUUCAGGCGAUUACCUCUGCUAUUACAACAGCAGUCACCAGUUCACCACCAUCUUGAGCUAAUCGCACUCCUGACAAGUGACCCCCAAUCUUCUGGAGAUCUGUGAUGAUGUCAUUUCAAUCCUCUCCUUUCUUUUAAACGAUUUUACUCUGCUUACAUUGAAAGCAAUAAGCUAGGUUUGUAUGUAGUACGAGAAGUAGAUGCUGGGUUUACUAUACCAGCUUAACAGGAACGAGCAAAAAAAAAAAUGCGAUAGGAGGGGGAGAGGCCCCCCACCGUAUUUCAUUAAGAAGAAAACAGGAACGAGCAACAAAAGCACUAGGCAGCAAAAGAGAAAAGGACUAAGAAGUAAUUGCCCUUGUACAUUUGGCUCCAAGCUAUGAAGAUGGUUCAAUAGUUUCUCCACCAUGCAUGAAGCCUAGUUUCCAGUUUCCCACGAUACAUUUGCUUUUAGCAGGGUUCACCACUUUUGCAGGAAAGCAAUGCCAGUGAAUAUAACAUCCAUUUAUUUGGAAAGGAAUGCUCAAUCCACAUCUUGGUUUCUGCUAGCUAUUUCACAUUUAGCAGGGUUGGCCAAUUUUGCAAGGAAGCAAUACUGAUAUUGGUGAUUCCUAGAGGCCUAGACCACCAUAAUCUUUGGGCCUACUCACAGUCUCUCACUUAGCCAUAUGGUACUUGAAUUCUUUGCUGGAAUUUAGCUUUGACAUAAUCCUGGUUUUUUCACGAGUGGUAAAACAAGAAACGUGUAAAAUCUCAUAUUGUAAGUGGGGAGUGUGCUCAAACAAGUCUGCCUCCAUAAGUUAAAUGCUUAUAUUGUCCCAGCUCCCAGGGGUCUAACCUUUUAAGCAUUUUGUGUUAAGAAUAAAUAGCCUUGAAACGACAAUUUUUUUUUUAGAAUUCGAGGGCUAUUGCCCUGGCUUUUCAAUUGACAUCGAAAAACCAAGCGUCUUUUACAGCACAGUUUUAAGAAGGCAAAGGUCCACCUGGACUGCAAAAGAGACUUUAACACCUUGAAACGACAAUGCCUAACAAAGAACCGGAUAUUGCAAUUACAAGAUAUUCAGGGGAUAACUGUACCCCAAGUCGCAAUUCAGCAUGCUUGCACAUCUCUCUUUCUCUGUUUACCCCAUGCCAAACACAUACACUUCACUAUUGUGAUAAUUAAUUUUGAACCCUGAUAUUCAUUAUUCAGUACCAAAUCACUAAUCAGUUUGAAGCCAAGAAUUUACUUGUCUCUUCCAUAUCUACCAUAAGAACUGUAUAUAUUGGGCAUAUAUAUGGGAGUCCCCCUAACACAACUGACAGCAGAGUGCAUUACAAAUCUGCAAUGCACCGUGGUAGGAGGACUACGUACAUCACUUGAUGCCUUGGCGGCAAUUUCAAUCUCAAUAAAAAAAACAUCAUUGACGAACGUCCACACAGGCUUAACGCGUCAAAUCAAAUUCCAAUACAAAACACCAGAAACCAUUUGGGCCCUGCGAAUAUAUUAGGCCCGUCCUGUUAAUCAUUUGGACAUGGGAUGAAACUACACACAGUGGCUGGUGGUACUCAUUUACUACACAGUGUAGCUUAGCUGCUGUGCCUGCAACGCGGACAUCUGGUUCUGGUCAGGUGUAGCCGGGCACUGAACGCGCUAGUGCCCAACACCGGGAGUGCUGGGAGGAAAGGGAGGGCACACGCCGCCGACGUUGUUCCCGUAGGUGCAGUUGGACGG